AUUGAACGCUGGCGGCAUGCCUCACACAUGCAAGUCGAACGGUAACAGGUCUCGGAUGCUGACGAGUGGCGAACGGGUGAGUAAUACAUCGGAACGUGCCCGAUCGUGGGGGAUAACGAAGCGAAAGCUUUGCUAAUACCACAUAAGAUCUAAGGAUGAAAGCAGGGGACCGCAAGGCCUUGCGCGAACGGAGCGGCCGAUGGCAGAUUAGGUAGUUGGUGGGAUAAAAGCUUACCAAGCCGACGAUCUGUAGCUGGUCUGAGAGGACGACCAGCCACACUGGGACUGAGACACGGCCCAGACUCCUACGGGAGGCAGCAGUGGGGAAUUUUGGACAAUGGGCGCAAGCCUGAUCCAGCCAUGCCGCGUGCAGGAUGAAGGCCUUCGGGUUGUAAACUGCUUUUGUACGGAACGAAAAGACUCUGGUUAAUACCUGGGGUUCAUGACGGUACCGUAAGAAUAAGCACCGGCUAACUACGUGCCAGCCGCCGCGGUAA
rnacentral:rRNA from 1 species